CCUACGGGUGGCAGCAGUGGGGAAUAUUGCGCAAUGGGCGAAAGCCUGACGCAGCGACGCCGCGUGAGGGAUGAAGGUCUUCGGAUCGUAAACCUCUGUCAGCAGGGAAGAACGGUCACUGUGCUAAUCAGCAGUGAAUUGACGGUACCUGCAAAGGAAGCACCGGCUAACUCCGUGCCAGCAGCCGCGGUAAUACGGAGGGUGCGAGCGUUAAUCGGAAUUACUGGGCGUAAAGCGCUCGUAGGCGGUAUGUCAAGUCAAGGGUGAAAUCCCCGCGCUCAACGUGGGAACUGCCUUUGAAACGGGCAAAGUGGAGUGUGUGAGAGGGGAGGGGAAUUCCGGGGGUAGGAGUGAAAUCCGGAGAUAUCGGGAGGAAAAUCAGUGGCGAGGGCGACUAUCGGGCACAUAACUGACGCUGAGGAGCGAAAGCGUGGGUAGCAAACAGGAUUAGAUACCCUGGUAGUC
rnacentral:rRNA from 1 species